rnacentral:rRNA from 1 species
GGAAUUUUGGGCAAUGGGCGAAAGCCUGACCCAGCCACGCCGCGUUAAGGAUGAAGUAUUUCGGUAUGUAAACUUCGAAAGACUGGGAAGAAUAAAUGACGGUACCAUUUAUAAGCUCCGGCUCACUCCGUUCCAGCAGCCGCGGUAAUACGUAGGGAGCAAGCGUUGUUCGGAUUUACUGGGCGUAAAGGGCGCGUAGGCGGCGCGGUAAGUCACUUGUGAAAUCUCUGAGCUUAACUCAGAACGGCCAAGUGAUACUGCAGUGCUAGAGUGUAGAAGGGGCAAUCGGAAUUCUUGGUGUAGCGGUGAAAUGCGUAGAUAUCAAGAGGAACACCUGAGGUGAAGACGGGUUGCUGGUCUAACACUGACGCUGAGGCGCGAAAGCCAGGGGAGCAAAC